GACGAACGCUGGCGGCGUGCUUAACACAUGCAAGUCGAACGCUGAAGCACCAGCUUGCUGGUGUGGAUGAGUGGCGAACGGGUGAGUAAUACGUGAGUAACCUGCCCUUGACUCUGGGAUAAGCCCGGGAAACUGGGUCUAAUACUGGAUGCUACAUGUCACCGCAUGGUGGUGUGUGGAAAGGGUUUACUGGUCUUGGAUGGGCUCACGGCCUAUCAGCUUGUUGGUGAGGUAAUGGCUCACCAAGGCGACGACGGGUAGCCGGCCUGAGAGGGUGACCGGCCACACUGGGACUGAGACACGGCCCAGACUCCUACGGGAGGCAGCAGUGGGGAAUAUUGCACAAUGGGCGAAAGCCUGAUGCAGCGACGCCGCGUGAGGGAUGACGGCCUUCGGGUUGUAAACCUCUUUCAGCAGGGAAGAAGCCACAAGUGACGGUACCUGCAGAAGAAGCGCCGGCUAACUACGUGCCAGCAGCCGCGGUAAUACGUAGGGCGCAAGCGUUGUCCGGAAUUAUUGGGCGUAAAGAGCUCGUAGGCGGUUUGUCGCGUCUGCUGUGAAAGCCCGGGGCUUAACCCCGGGUGUGCAGUGGGUACGGGCAGACUAGAGUGCAGUAGGGGAGACUGGAAUUCCUGGUGUAGCGGUGGAAUGCGCAGAUAUCAGGAGGAACACCGAUGGCGAAGGCAGGUCUCUGGGCUGUUACUGACGCUGAGGAGCGAAAGCAUGGGGAGCGAACAGGAUUAGAUACCCUGGUAGUCCAUGCCGUAAACGUUGGGCACUAGGUGUGGGGGACAUUCCACGUUUUCCGCGCCGUAGCUAACGCAUUAAGUGCCCCGCCUGGGGAGUACGGCCGCAAGGCUAAAACUCAA
rnacentral:rRNA from 1 species